rnacentral:rRNA from 1 species
AUUGAACGCUGGCGGCAGGCCUAACACAUGCAAGUCGAGCGUGUGGCGGACGGGUGAGUAAUGCUUGGGUAUCUAGCUUAUGGAGGGGGAUAACUACGGGAAACUGUAGCUAUUACCGCGUACCAUAGGAUGAGCCCAAGUGGGUUUAGGUGGUUGGUGAGGUAAAGGCUCACCAAGCCGACUAACGCUCGCUGGUCUGAGAGGAUGACCAGCCACACUGGGACUGAGACACGGCCCAGACUCCUACGGGAGGCAGCAGUGGGGAAUAUUGCGCAAUGGGGGCAGCCUGACACAGCCAGGCCGCGUAAAUGAAGAAGGCCUUCGGGUUGUAAAGUUCUUUCGGUAGCGAGGCGUUAACUACAGAAGAAGCACCGGCUAACUCCGUGCCAGCAGCCGCGGUAAUUC